rnacentral:tRNA from 1 species
GCCUGGGUGGCUCAGUCAGUUGAGUGUCUGACUUUGGCUCAGGUCACCAUCUCAUGGUUUGUGGGUUCGAGCCCCGCAUCGGGCU